UACGUAGGGACCGAGCGUUGUCCGGAAUCAUUGGGCGUAAAGAGCGUGUAGGCGGCUAUUUAAGUCCUGCGUGAAAUCCUGCGGCUCAACCGCAGACGGUCGUGGGAAACUGGAUGGCUAGAGUGCGGGAGAGGAGAGUGGAAUUCCCGAUGUAGCGGUGAAAUGCGCAGAUAUCGGGAAGAACACCCGUGGCGAAGGCGGCUCUCUGGAACGCAACUGACGCUGAGACGCGAAAGCGUGGGGAGCAAACAGG
rnacentral:rRNA from 1 species